rnacentral:rRNA from 1 species
UACGGAGGGUGCGAGCGUUGUCCGGAAUCACUGGGCGUAAAGGGUGCGUAGGCGGCUGGGUAAGUCGCGUGUGAAAGCCCGGGGCUCAACCCCGGAGCUGCAUGCGAGACUGCCUGGCUCGAGCGCGGUAGAGGCGGGCGGAAUUCCUGGUGUAGCGGUGGAAUGCGUAGAGAUCAGGAAGAACACCGGUGGCGAAGGCGGCUCGCUGGGCCGUUGCUGACGCUGAGGCACGAAAGCGUGGGGAGCAAACAGG